rnacentral:rRNA from 1 species
UACGUAGGCAGCGAGCGUUGUUCGGAAUUACUGGGCGUAAAGAGUGUGUAGGCGGUGCUCUAAGUUCGGUGUGAAAUCUCCUGCUUAACUGGGAGGGUGCGCCGGAAACUGGAGUGCUCGAACGUGGGAGAGGAAAGCGGAACUCCUGGUGUAGCGGUGAAAUGCGUAGAUAUCAGGAGGAACACCUGCGGUGUAGACGGCUUUCUGGACCAUUGUUGACGCUGAGACACGAAAGCGUGGGUAGCAAACAGG